rnacentral:rRNA from 1 species
GUAAAUCUCGUGCCAGCCACCGCGUUAAACGGGAGGCUCAGGUUGAUAGACAUCGGCGUAAAGCGUGGUUAAGGGCCCAACUUUUAUACUAAAGCCGAACGCUCUUAGAGCAGUUAUACGUACUGAGAGUAAGAAGAUCAAUUACGAAAGUAGCUUUACUCAAACCUGACCCCACGAAAGCUAAGGCACAAACUGGGAUUAGAUACCCCACUAUGCUUAGCCUUAAACAUAGACAGUUGUUUACCCCCACUGUCCGCCCGGGCAC